GGAAAUAACUGAGUGGUAGAGUGCAUGUUUAGCAUACAUGAGGUCCUGGGUUUAAUCCCCAGUUCCUCCA
rnacentral:tRNA from 1 species